UACGGAGGGGUUAGCGUUGUUCGGAAUUACUGGGCGUAAAGCGCACGUAGGCGGAUCAGAAAGUUGGGGGUGAAAUCCCCGGGGCUCAACCCCCGGAACUGCCUCCAAAACUUCUGGUCUGGAGUUCGAGAGAGGUGAGUGGAAUUCCGAGUGUAGAGGUGAAAUUCGUAGAUAUUCGGAGGAACACCAGUGGCGAAGGCGGCUCACUGGCUCGAUACUGACGCUGAGGUGCGAAAGUGUGGGGAGCAAACAGGAUUAGAUACCCGCGUAGU
rnacentral:rRNA from 1 species